UAUAUAUUCAAUCACAUGUUAUCCUUAAAUUAAGUAUAUUUUUCACAUGUACCUAGGUUAUAACAAAAACUCCACAGAAAUUAUAGAGAAAGAAACUACUAAGGUUGUCCACUUAGUGAAUUAAACUAUCACUUAGUGAAUUAAACUGACCAACCCGACUUAUCCAAACCGACUCAAACCAAUUUAUAGGUUUAAAUUCCAACUUCGGGUCCAAUUGGUUAAUUUUCUUCAAAUAAUCACUUUUUUAGUUGGUUGAGAGAAUUAUUUCUCGAGACCCAAUGUGCUUUCUAAUCCCUAACUUCCUCUGCCAUUCCAUAGCCUCCAUCCUCUAGUGAACUUUGUCGUCUCCUUCAAAGACUUCUAAUCUUGAGAAAUACUGAAGAGACCUCUUGAGAAAAUCUCAUCAACUCCUACAGCGGCUUUUAAUUUUGUUGUCGAUGCUUCAAAAAUACCUGGGACUAUUGGUUCUGGGUUUUCUUCUACAUAGUACCAAAUCUUGUUUCUGUUCCAUUGCUUUGUACAAAUCUAUUUCUCUAUCUAUUUUUGGGUUUUUUG
rnacentral:misc_RNA from 1 species